GGCUAUUGUAAGGACUUUGGAUUUUACUCUGAAUGAAACGGGAAGCCACUGGGACUAUUUUAAUAUUUUAAGCCACUGAAGGUCAUAUCAAGAAAUGACUUGGAAAAGAAGUCUUAACACAAGACUUUUAUUCAUUCAUUUAUUGUUAUACUUUUCAAUAAGUCAUUCAUUCAUUUAUUCAACAAUAUUUCUUGAGCGCCAAGUACGGACCAGGCAUGGAACUAGAUAGGCACUAAGAACACAGUGGUGAACACGGCCAACACGUCCCCAUGUGCUAGGAGUUUACAGUCAAUGGAAAAUGCUAAAGACAUAAAUACGGAGGAUUGACGGGGCCAGUCGAAGAGGCCCAGAAGCAACUCUAAAAAGAGACCUUUCAGUAAAUCUCAAAGGACAUUUUCACUGCUUUGGUUUACAACUUAAGGAAAAGACGUAUCAUAUUCAAGUGUAUAUAAAUACCCAGAGCUACACGUUGAACUCCCUUCCUCUAGCCCUUCAAGUGCUAGAGGACUAAAGAAAGAUUUGCUCUCGCUAGAAGUUCUACGCCAGUCCUUCGGUAAUGGCUGCCUGUUGAUUCUGCUGAAAUGGAUUUCUGACCACAUCCGGGCUACGUGGGUGCUGCGAUCUAUUGGUACUGUCUGCCACAGGCAUAGCCUGAAGAACAGGAGAAGGCCAGGUGUACAAAGUACUGUCUGUAGCCAAUGGAAUAUUGUAUUGGGAAAUCUGCCAGGACGGUGAGCAUCUGUGAAGAGAGAACGAUAUCAACUACGAAGGAGCAGGAAAG
rnacentral:lncRNA from 1 species